GACGAACGCUGGCGGCGUGCCUAAUACAUGCAAGUAGAACGCUGAAGGAGGAGCUUGCUUCUCUGGAUGAGUUGCGAACGGGUGAGUAACGCGUAGGUAACCUGCCUGGUAGCGGGGGAUAACUAUUGGAAACGAUAGCUAAUACCGCAUAAUAGUAGAUGUUGCAUGACAUUUGCUUAAAAGGUGCAAUUGCAUCACUACCAGAUGGACCUGCGUUGUAUUAGCUAGUUGGUGAGGUAACGGCUCACCAAGGCAACGAUACAUAGCCGACCUGAGAGGGGGAUCGGCCACACUGGGACUGAGACACGGCCCAGACUCCUACGGGAGGCAGCAGUAGGGAAUCUUCGGCAAUGGACGGAAGUCUGACCGAGCAACGCCGCGUGAGUGAAGAAGGUUUUCGGAUCGUAAAGCUCUGUUGUAAGAGAAGAACGAGUGUGAGAGUGGAAAGUUCACACUGUGACGGUAUCUUACCAGAAAGGGACGGCUAACUACGUG
rnacentral:rRNA from 1 species